ACAUGGGGAAUAGGGCCCAUAGUAGUGCACUACAUAGGGAAUAGGGACCAUAGUAGUGCACUACAUAGGGAAUAGGGUGACAUUUGGGACAACCCCUUAAACUCAACAGACAAAUCAAAAAGCACGUCUUCUUGAUUUAUAUGAAAUAAAACCAAGGCUCAAAUGAAGAAGUGACGCCACAGGAGAGCGACAUCAAAGCGUAAGGCCCAGUAGGCUGCUACUGGCUCCAUCUUCAGACAACACACCUGCUGUAGUCACUGGAUGUCCCAGUGAAAAGCUGCAUCUCUAAUGGGACCCUAUCCCCCCAUAUGGGCCCCGGUCAUUAAUGACUUUCCUAUCCCCCCAUAUGGGCCCUGGUCAUUAAUGACUUCCUAUCCCCCCAUAUGGGCCCUGGUCAAAUGUAGAAUGAGUUGCCACUUGGGACACACACCCCAGUGAAAAUGAGUAGCAUGAGUCCAUGGACAGAAUAUAUUACUAAGGUGUUUGAGGCUUGAGACUUGCUGAUCAGCCUGACUAACCCAACACCUUAUUGAGACUUGAUCAGCCUGACUAACCCAACACCUUAUUGACACUUGUUGAUCAGCCUGACUAACCCAACACCUUAUUGAGACUUGUUGAUCAGCCUGACUAACCCAACACCUUAUUGAGACUUGUUGAUCAGCCUGACUAACCCAACACCUUAUUGAGACUUGUUGAUCAGCCUGACUAACCCAACACCUUAUUGAGACUUGUUGAUCAGCCUGACUAACCCAACACCUUAUUGAGACUUGUUGAUCAGCCUGACUAACCCAACACCUUAUUGAGACUUGUUGAUCAGCCUGACUAACCCAACACCUUAUUGAGACUUGUUGAUCAGCCUGACUAACCCAACACCUUAUUGAGACUUGUUGAUCAGCCUGACUAACCCAACACCUUAUUGAGACUUGCUGAUCAGCCUGACUAACCCAACACCUUAUUGAGACUUGUUGAUCAGCCUGACUAACACAACACCUUAUUGAGACUUGAUGAUCAGCCUGACUAACCCAACACCUUAUUGAGACUUGUUGAUCAGCCUGACUAACCCAACACCUUAUUGAGACUUGCUGAUCAGCCUGACUAACCCAACACCUUAUUGAGACUUGUUGAUCAGCCUGACUAACACAACACCUUAUUGACACUUGUUGAUCAGCCUGACUAACCCAAUAGCGUAUGGCUCAAGAGGUUCAAUAAUAUAAUAACACCUACUAACCAACAGAUAAAGUGCCAACAAGGAAAAAGCGGUAUCUGCUGAACGCAGAAGGCUACAGUCAAAUUAUCCUAUAUUUGGCCCAAAUGACACCCUGUUCCCUAUAAAGUGCACUACUUUUGAACUGGUCAUUUAGGGUGCCAUUUGGGAUAUAGCCAGAAGGAUAUAAUAAUGUGUAUUACAUUCAUUUAAAUAAAGCAGGUUUAAAGCCAGCCAGGUCUCUCCCUAGACUAGUUACUGGUUACAGACAACAGGUCUCUCCCUAAACUAGUUACUGGUUACAGACAACAGGUCUCUCCCUAGACUAGUUACAGACAACAGGUCUCUCCAUAGGCUAGUUACUGGUUACAGACAACAGGUCUCUCCCUAGACUAGUUACUGGUUACAGACAACAGGUCUCUCCCUAGACUAGUUACUGGUUACAGACAACAGGUCUCUCCCUAGACUAGUUACUGGUUACAGACAACAGGUCUCUCCCUAGACUAGUUACUGGUUACAGACAACAGGUCUCUCCCUAGACUAGUUACUGGUUACAGACAACAUGUCUCUCCCUAGACUAGUUACAGGUUACAGACAACAGGUCUCUCCCUAGACUAGUUACUGGUUACAGACAACAGGUCUCUCCCUAGACUAGUUACUGGUUACAGACAACAGGUCUCUCCCUAGACUAGUUACUGGUUACAGACAACAGGUCUCUCCCUAGGCUAGUUAUAGGUUACAGACAACAGACUGCAACGCAGGGCUUGGGUCAAGAGAAGUGUGGUGUAGGAUGCCGUUUGAGGUGUGGCACUAUGGAAAGCAGCGUCUGGGAGGUCAAGGGUCAAAGGCCACCCAGGCAGAGGUCAAGGGUGGAUGACCUCACUCUCUUUAACAGUACUCAACAUAGAGGGGGGCGGGAUCUGACUGAUGGGACAGGUUUCAACAGCCGGCGUCUGUGAUUGGACAGAUAUCCAUUCACUCACUCCCUGUGGGGAAUAACAUUGCACUGUCUGUCAAAUAA